rnacentral:misc_RNA from 1 species
GAUGAAGAACGUAGCGAACUGCGAUAAGUAAUGUGAAUUGCAGAAUUCAGUGAAUCAUCGAGUCUUUGAACGCACAUUGCGCCCCCUGGCAUUCCGGGGGGCAUGCCUGUCCGAGCGUCAUUGCUGCCCUUCAAGCCCGGCUUGUGUGUUGGGUCGUCGUCCCCCCCGGGGGACGGGCCCGAAAGGCAGCGGCGGCACCGCGUCCGGUCCUCGAGCGUAUUGGGCUUUGUCACCCGCUCGAUUAGGGCCGGCCGGGCGCCAGCCGGCGUCUCCAACCUUUUAUUUUACCAGGUUGACCUCGGAUCAGGUAGGGAUACCCGCUGAACUUAAGCAUAUCAAUAAGCGGAGGA